CACAAAAGGAAGCCCAACGGCAUUUUGGGAACCCUAUGCAGGGAGCUCUUCCCUGGGCUGGUGAUGCAUGACGGGAUCCUGGAGCCGGCAUACACGUGGGACCACUACAUCGCCGUCCCAGAUGCAGAAGAUCGGGAAGGGAGGUCCUUCAGCAACAAGGCGAGACGGGUGGUGGGAGAAUUCUGGGUAAGUCGUCGCACUAUAUUGGUGAAUAGUUACCAUAUAUUUGAAACUCUUUGAAUAUUGACUGCAAUUAUCGAGUCUAUAUGCAGGAUUUCUACAGGUGCGAGCCAGGAUAUGAGGCCAUAGCGGCUCAGGUGGCUGACACAGCAUGUCACAAACUAGUGAAGGACAUGCACUACGAGGCGCGUGUUCAGGCCGUAAUUACCUACUGCGCCGAUGUGGAAAAAAGGAAGGUCGGCAAGGACGUAGCAAGAAAUAUGUUCCUCACGCGGGAACAAUACUUGAGGGUGCCUCCGAACUGGUGCGCCGGCAAGGGCGCGUGCUAGGAAAUGAUGGUGGACAGGUGGCUUAGCGAGGAGUGGAUUCAGCGGCACAACUUAUGCCGGGAGCGCCGCUUGUUGAUGCAAGGUGCGCCACACCAUCAAGGCAGCCGAGGCCUUCCCGAGUACAUGGAUGUUUGGUCGGAGUCACAUGAAGACCAGGAAUGCAACGACUUCCAGGCAUACUGUAUGGCGCACAAGGGCAGGGCGACGUCC